UCUGGUGGUUCUACUUUAAGAGGUCACACCUGAUCCCAUUUCGAACUCAGUAGUUAAGCUCUUUUAGGCCGAUGGUAGUAAGCCCUGAGGUUUGCGAGAGUAGGUCAUCGCCAGAA
rnacentral:rRNA from 1 species